AGCAUGGUAAUGCGAUUAUGCACUUCUUGCCUCAUGGUCGGACUGUCGCUCUGUGGACGGAGUGCUUGGUGUCUGCCAGCCAGUGUGAAGCUCCGACUUCAAAGCUCACGAUUUAGGAGCGGGAACUCUCAGUUGCUGUCCCACAGAAUAUCCUGAGGAACUGGGGGAGGAGCCACCCAGCAUCAGGUCAAAUGUGGCAGCUCCUUCUACCACCAUGGUCCUCGUGGAUGAGGGAACUGAUGAAAACGGUGUGUGUACAGAAAUCAUCACCCCAGUGACGAACAGUCAGGGUGAGAAGAAGAAGGUGGGUCUUCCUUGCUGGCAUUGGUUGGCGAGCAGCCGGAUCCAGGGCUCCUUUUGGAAAGUGGGUUGGGGGUGUAGAGCACGAGGCUCUUUCCCAGUCAUAGCGAUGCCCAAGUCGUACAU
rnacentral:lncRNA from 1 species